rnacentral:rRNA from 1 species
UACGUAGGGUCCGAGCGUUGUCCGGAGUUACUGGGCGUAAAGGGCGCGCAGGCGGCGGUGCUGGCCCGGCGUGAAAGCCCCGGGCUCAACCUGGGAAUGGCAUUGGAAACUGGCUUGCUAGAGUGUGGCAGAGGGGGGUGGAAUUCCGCGUGUAGCAGUGAAAUGCGUAGAGAUGCGGAGGAACACCGAUGGCGAAGGCAGCCCCCUGGGCCGACACUGACGCUCAGGCACGAAAGCGUGGGGAGCAAACAGG